CAGGGGGUAUUUUAUGUUUUAAAAUAUUAGUUUUGGGGAUUAAUGAAAUGGUAUUUCGCCUUUCCUCUGA
rnacentral:tRNA from 1 species